GUACGUAGGGGGCAAGCGUUGUCCGGAUUUAUUGGGCGUAAAGAGCGUGUAGGCGGCUAGGUAGGUCCGUUGUGAAAACUCGAGGCUCAACCUCGAGACGUCGAUGGAAACCAUCUAGCUAGAGUCCGGAAGAGGAGAGUGGAAUUCCUGGUGUAGCGGUGAAAUGCGCAGAUAUCAGGAAGAACACCCGUGGCGAAGGCGGCUCUCUGGUACGUGACUGACGCUGAGACGCGAAAGCGUGGGGAGCGAACAGG
rnacentral:rRNA from 1 species